GAAGGCAUGGAGCGCGUCAUCAUCGACCAGCUGUCUCUGACUCACGGCGUGCUGAAGAGAGCCAGAGGAAACCUGGAGGACGUCCCACUGAAUGGCCAGUGACCAAUCAGCAGUCGGGGAGCGUGGCCUGUCGACAGCGGCGUUCAGGCA